rnacentral:rRNA from 2 species
UGGGGAAUAUUGCACAAUGGGCGAAAGCCUGAUGCAGCGACGCCGCGUGGGGGAUGAAGGCCUUCGGGUUGUAAACUCCUUUCGCUAGGGACGAAGAUGUAUUUUGACGGUACCUGGAGAAGAAGCACCGGCUAACUACGUGCCAGCAGCCGCGGUAAUACGUAGGGUGCGAGCGUUGUCCGGAAUUACUGGGCGUAAAGAGCUCGUAGGUGGUUUGUCACGUCGUCUGUGAAAUCCCGGGGCUUAACUUCGGGCGUGCAGGCGAUACGGGCAUAACUUGAGUGCUGUAGGGGAGACUGGAAUUCCUGGUGUAGCGGUGAAAUGCGCAGAUAUCAGGAGGAACACCAAUGGCGAAGGCAGGUCUCUGGGCAGUAACUGACGCUGAGGAGCGAAAGCAUGGGUAGCGAACAGG